rnacentral:rRNA from 1 species
AACGAGCGCUGGCGGCAUGCCUAACACAUGCAAGUCGAACGAGACCUUCGGGUCUAGUGGCGCACGGGUGCGUAACGCGUGGGAAUCUGCCCUUGGGUCCGGAAUAACAGUUGGAAACGACUGCUAAUACCGGAUGAUGACGUAAGUCCAAAGAUUUAUCGCCCAAGGAUGAGCCCGCGUAGGAUUAGCUAGUUGGUGAGGUAAAGGCUCACCAAGGCGACGAUCCUUAGCUGGUCUGAGAGGAUGAUCAGCCACACUGGGACUGAGACACGGCCCAGACUCCUACGGGAGGCAGCAGUGGGGAAUAUUGGACAAUGGGCGAAAGCCUGAUCCAGCAAUGCCGCGUGAGUGAUGAAGGCCUUAGGGUUGUAAAGCUCUUUUACCCGGGAUGAUAAUGACAGUACCGGGAGAAUAAGCUCCGGCUAACUCCGUG